rnacentral:misc_RNA from 1 species
GUAUUCCUUUUACACUAUUCUUCAUGUUUUGUGCAAUUUCUGUCUCAUUAAUUUUUUGUUGGUUUUUUUUUUCAAGCUCCUUGAAUUAGUGUCUUCUUUUUUUAUUACUGGAGAGCAAAGUUUAAGGCUUAAAAAAUCCAUUUACUUCUAUUAUAUAGCCUUGUAUUCAUAAGUGAUUAUAUCACAAUGUAUGAUGGUAUUGCUUAUAUGUUUGCAUGUGUAUAUACUCAAGUUAUUCUUUACAUUUCUUAUUGACAUGUAGCAGUGUAAACAAUCAAAAAUUUGAAGCAUUGUUAGUAUCCUUUUACCCAGUUUAUUUUAUAAAUCGGUUUAUUAUGUCUUGUUAGAAAAACAAAAAAAUUAAAGUAUGUGUUAU